rnacentral:rRNA from 1 species
AUGCAAGUCGAGCGGAACGAUCCUAGCUUGCUAGGAGGCGUCGAGCGGCGGACGGGUGAGUAACGCGUGAGAAUCUGCCCAUUUGUGGGGGAUAACUCGGGGAAACUCGAGCUAAUACCGCAUAAUCCCUACGGGGGAAAGCAGGGGACCUUCGGGCCUUGUGCAGAUGGAUGAGCUCGCGUCGGAUUAGCUUGUUGGUGAGGUAAAAGCUCACCAAGGCGACGAUCCGUAGCUGGUCUGAGAGGAUGAUCAGCCACACCGGGACUGAGACACGGCCCGGACUCCUACGGGAGGCAGCAGUGGGGAAUCUUGGACAAUGGGGGCAACCCUGAUCCAGCCAUGCCGCGUGUGUGAAGAAGGCCUUCGGGUUGUAAAGCACCUUCAGUAGGGAGGAAGGCUUACCGUUAAUAGCGGUGAGUACUUGACGUUACCUACAGAAGAAGCACCGGCUAAUUUCGUGCCAGCAGCCGCGGUAAUACGAAAGGUGCGAGCGUUAAUCGGAAUUACUGGGCGUAAAGCGCGCGUAGGCGGUUUGUUAAGUCAGAUGUGAAAGCCCCGGGCUCAACCUGGGAAUUGCAUUUGAAACUGGCAGGCUAGAAUGCAGUAGAGGGAGGUGGAAUUUCCGGUGUAGCGGUGAAAUGCGUAGAGAUCGGAAGGAACACCAGUGGCGAAGGCGGCCUCCUGGACUAACAUUGACGCUGAGGUGCGAAAGCGUGGGGAGCAAACAGGAUUAGAUACCCUGGUAGUCCACGCCGUAAACGAUGUCUACUAGUCGUUGGGAAUCUUAGUAUUCUUGGUGACGAAGUUAACGCGAUAAGUAGACCGCCUGGGGAGUACGGCCGCAGGGUUAAAACUCAAAUGAAUUGACGGGGGCCCGCACAAGCGGUGAGCAUGUGGUUUAAUUCGAUGCAACGCGAAGACCUUACCAGGCCUUGACAUCCUUGGAACUUUCUAGAGAUAGAUUGGUGCCUUCGGGAGCCAAGUGACAGGUGCUGCAUGCUGUCGUCAGCUCGUGUCGUGAGAUGUUGGGUUAAGUCCCGUAACGAGCGCACCGUGGUCCCU